AUGGUCCUUAGAGAUAUUAGGGAUAUGUUACAAUCCAUGGGAAAGGAUAUUAGAAACUAUGGACUUCCGGAUCUGGUUGAGACCAAUGGUUCUUAUGACUCUGAGUACAAAGAAGUGACAGAGGAGAGGCAAGUCACAGUGGACAAAGAACAUCUAGAUCUAUUUAACAGUUUGAACAAUGAGCAGUUAGCUGGUUUUAAUGAUAUAAUGGAUCAUGUGAUGAACCAAAAAAGCCAGAUAUUCUUUGUUGAUGGUCCAGGAGGCACUGGGAAGACAUACUUGUACAAGGCCUUGCUUGCAAAGGUGCGUUCCGUGGGCCAAAUAGCGAUCGCAACUGCUACAUCAGGUAUAGCGGCGUCGAUAAUGCCAGGAGGACGGACUGCACACUCCAGGUUCAAAAUUCCAAUUAAGCUCACUAACAACAGCAUGUGUAGUUUUACAAAGCAGAGUGGUACAGCAGAGUUGCUUAAACAGGCGUCCUUGAUAAUUUGGGACGAAGUCUCUAUGACAAAACGUCAAGCAGUUGAGACGCUUGAUAGAUCGCUCCAGGAUAUAAUGGAGUGUCCUUUGCCAUUGGGGGAAAGGUUGUCGUCUUUGGUGGGGAUUUUCGGCAAGUCCUUCCUGUUGUCACACAUGGGACAAGAGCACAGAUCACGGAUGCUACACUCCUGA
rnacentral:rRNA from 1 species